GUCAGAUCCAAACUAUCUAUGGGCCUAAAGUUUGGACAUGAAUUCUAGUCAUCACUUGAUGGGUUUGGAUCGGGUUAGCUCUCCUCUCAUGUCCAAUCCAAUCCACAGGGUCCACAGCUUAAUUCUUUUCAAGACAGCAUUAAACUUUUUCUUGUUUUUUUCCUUCUGUCACGACAAAUCAUCCAUACUUGACCUUAGUUCACUGGAAAUCAGUCGGGUUUGGGUAUGGGAAAGUGGGUCUUUAAAAAAAUAGUAAGAAAAUGGUCGGGAAGCAAAGUGCAGAUACAAGUUUCCAAGG
rnacentral:lncRNA from 1 species